AUGAAGGAGGAGCUCGACAUCCAUGAGAACCUCUGCACAGCCCUGGAGAUGUUCAACAUGGCGAACAAGUGUGCAAGGGCUGAGGAGGGGCGCCUCUCCCUCCUCGAGCUCCCUGAUACUGACCCAGAAGACAAGAACGCUAAGGCCAAGGACAUGAAGCGCAAGGGGCCGGCCGUGCUCGCGGCCAAGCCAGAGAUGAAGCGGGGCUGCGACCACCCCAAGUCGUCCAAGAGCAACCGACCGUUCUGCGUCUUCCACAACGUCCACAACCACAACACCAACGACUGCCAGGAGCUCAAGGCCCUCCGCGACGGGCGUCUUGGUCGACGCUCCGAGCGCAUACGGCCGCGGAGGUGGCCGAGAAGGAGGACGCUGGGAUGGACACGACCAUCGCCAGGAGUGGCGCGUCCAUUCUCGGGAGGACCGUUGGCAGGGCCAACCUCGUGA
rnacentral:rRNA from 1 species